rnacentral:rRNA from 1 species
UACGUAGGGGGCAAGCGUUGUCCGGAUUUAUUGGGCGUAAAGAGCGUGUAGGCGGCCAGGUAGGUCCGUUGUGAAAACUGGAGGCUUAACCUCCAGCUGUCGAUGGAAACCAUCUGGCUAGAGUCCGGAAGAGGAGAGUGGAAUCCUGGUGUAGCGGUGAAAUGCGCAGAUAUCAGGAAGAACACCCGUGGCGAAGGCGGCUCUCUGGGACGGUACUGACGCUGAGACGCGAAAGCGUGGGGAGCGAACAGG